UGGGAAAAAUGUUAAAAAAAUCGCCAACUUUUAAAAAUGGGACAAAAAAAUCGCCAACUCCUGAAAUGUCAUUUAAAUCAUAUACUUUUGGUUGACUUUUCCAGAAAGAUAAUAAAGCAAAGAUUCGUAAUCAACAAAACUUUGCUCUGUUAUCUUUCUAAAGAACUCAAUCAAAAGUAUGUGAUUAAAACGACAUUUCAGGAGUUGGUGAUUUUUCAUCCCAUUUUUCAAAGUUGGCAAUUUUUUUGACAUUUUUUCCAAUG